GGCCCCAUAGCUCAGUCGGUAGAUUACUCGCUGUACUAAAGCGACGGUGGCAACCACGUGGGGGUUCAUAUCCCACCGGGGUCG
rnacentral:tRNA from 1 species